rnacentral:rRNA from 1 species
GAUGAACGCUGGUGGCGUGCCUAAUACAUGCAAGUCGAGCGAACAGACGAUGAGCUUGCUCCUCUGACGUUAGGGGCGGACGGGUGUGUAACACGUGUAUAACCUACCUAUAAUACUGGGAUAACUUCGGGAAACCGGAGCUAAUACCGUAUGAUAUAUUGAACCGCAUGGUUCAAUAGUGAGAUACGGCUGUUGUGUAUCUUAUAGAUGGAUCCGCGCCGCAUUGGCUAGUUGGUAAGGUAACGGGUUAUCAAGGCAACGAUGCGUAGCCGACCUGAGAGGGUGAUCGGCCACACUGGAACUGAGACACGGUCCAGAGUACUACGGGAGGCAGCAGUAGGGAACCUUCCGCAAUGGGCGGAAGCCUGACGGAGCAGCGCCGCGUGAGUGAUGAAGGUCUUCGGAUCGUAAAACUCUGUUAUUAGGGAAGAACAAAUGUGUAAGUAACUAUGCACGUCUUGACGGUACCUAAUAAGAAAGCCACGGCUAACUACGUG